UACGUAGGGGGCGAGCGUUGUCCGGAUUUAUUGGGCGUAAAGAGCUCGUAGGCGGUUCGAUAAGUCGGACGUGAAAUCUCCACGCUCAACGUGGAGGGGCCGUUCGAUACUGUCGUGACUCGAGUCCGGUAGGGGAGUGUGGAAUUCCCGGUGUAGCGGUGAAAUGCGCAGAUAUCAGGAGGAACACCCGUAGCGAAGGCGGCACUCUGGGCCGAUACUGACACUGAGGAGCGAAAGCGUGGGGAGCGAACAGG
rnacentral:rRNA from 1 species